rnacentral:rRNA from 1 species
CACGUAGGGGGCGAGCGUUGUCCGGAUUUAUUGGGCGUAAAGAGCUCGUAGGCGGCUAAGUAAGUCAGGUGUGAAAACUCCAGGCUCAACCUGGAGACGCCACCUGAUACUGCUUUGGCUAGAGUCCGGUAGGGGAGCAUGGAAUUCCUGGUGUAGCGGUGAAAUGCGCAGAUAUCUGGAGGAAUACCGGUGGCGAAGGCGGCAUCCUGGACCGGCAUUGACGCUGAGGCGCGAAAGCCAGGGGAGCAAACGGG